UAAAAGAAGAGAAAAAACAUCAAUUAGAAAAUAGAAAAGAGCCCUCCCUGGUGAAUUCCUGCUUCUCCUCCAUGUCAUCAUAGGUGUUGAUGGUGCUUGCCUCUGGAUAAUGCUGACUUCCUCUAGAGUGGUCACCAAGGUGAAAUGUUGGUGCCAAAUGAACUUUUCUGGUUCUUCUGAAUAUGCCACUGUUGCUGGAGAAAUGUCACUGCUAGAGAACAGAAGACUAUUAUUCCAAAGGGUAUUUGAGACUGACUGAAUCAGGUCUGGAACAUUAUUGAAAUGAUCAUUUGCUCCAGAAGAAGCUGGUUGCCAUGUCUUGAGGACAGUAAACCCUCUGGGGAGGUUCCUGUGGUAAGGAACAAGGGCUCCUGGCAAUAGCCUCUGAGUGAGCCACCUUGAAAAUGGAUUGUCCAGCCCCAGUCAAGCUUUCAGAUGACUGUAGCUCCUGCCAAUGUCUUCACCACAACCUCAUGAGAUCCCAAGCUACAACCACUCAGUUAAGUUAUGCCAAAAUUCCUGAUUCACAGAAAUUGACAUACAGGAGAGGUCACAGUUAAGAUCUUGAUGUUCUAUCUUGACCCAUAAUAUAGGAACUUCAUCUUUUGGGAAGCACCAGGGAGAGCUGCCUGUGCCUGGCAGAAGCUGCCCAUGCCCCACUGAUACCCCACAGUACUUCCUGUUCUGCUUAGUACUCCUGCUUCUUUCUACAAACAACUGUGAUUCUCUACCUGGGAGCUUCCUCUGGCCACAGGAGCCUGCUCACCUGAUUGGGACACCCUAGCAGUACUGGCUCAUAGAUGGAAGGGACUUGCCUUGUCGCUGAUGAGACUUUCGACUUGGACUUUUGAGUCAAUGCUGGAAUGAGUUAAGACUUUGGGGAACUGUUGGAAGGGUGUGAUUGUGUUUUGAAUUGUGAGGACAUGAGAUUUUGAAGAGGCUAAUGGCAGCGUCCCCACCUAAAUCUCUUCUUGAAUUGUAGUUCCCAUAAUCCCCACGUGUCGUGGGGUGGAGCCGGUGGAGAUAAUUGAAUCAUGGGAACACUUUCCCCCAUGCUGUUAUUGUGAUUGUGAAUUCUCACGAGAUCUGAUGGUUGUAUAAACGCCUUCCCUCUUCGCUGGGCACUCAUUUUUCUCCUUCCUGCCACCAUGUGAAGAAGGAUAUGCUUGCUUCUUGUGCCAUGAUUACAAGAACACACUCAGAAAUUUUCUCAACACAGUUUCUAUGCAGAGAAGAGAUGUGGGACAGAUUUGAACUGCUGUCAUAUUUGUAUGAACCCAAGACAUUUUCCAAGACCAAGAGGGAUAAAGACAGCAAUUUCUAUGACUGGCAUUUUACGUGCAUGCACUGUUUCCAAGUGUUCUUGUGUUCUGUGCCUUAAACAUUCUGUGUUGCAACUUUAUGAAUUGAAUUAAAGAUAAUCCCAAGCCCCCAAUUGUCUCAAAAAGUGAAAAAGUAAAUGUUAUAGAAAGAAAAGCGGGAAAAACUUUAAGCAUGAAAUAAAAGAUGGGUUGUGAUAAAAGAGGACUGAAGAAGGAAAAGGAAUGAAAGGUUCUGCCAUCCUUCAUGGCAGCCCACUCCACUUGGUAUGAGAUACUGCUCCCUUGGCUGAAAGUUAACUGCUGUACUCCCUCCACUUUCUAUAAAUGACUCCCUGUGCCUUUCCUUCACCACACAACUCACACUCUCUUCCUUCCUAGUGAGUCCACUAAGGCUUCACUGCAUUAUUACAUUUAUUUCAUUUAGGAAAAACUGACUUUAUUUUCCUUCAAAUUGUUUUUUAUUGUUUAUAUGAGCUUGGUUUUAUUGUCAUUCUAUUUUUCUCCAUGAAAAUAGAGAAAAAUAGGGUCGAAAGGUUAGGUUGGGUGGAAAGGAAUUAUAUUUUUUCUCACUAAAAUUGAUGUAAAUAUCGUUUUCAAUUGAAUGAUUUUACACAGUGGCACAGUUUCAGGUAUGUUGCUAAGCAGGAAAGUUGUUAACCAAAGCAUGAAUGUAUUAAGGAGAUGUAUGCAGAAUGACAUGCAAGGUUAUCUAUGAUUGCUGAGUGAGAAAGAGCAAGUUGCUGAGUAUUAUAUAAGUAUGAUCUCACUUUUGUAAAAAAAAAAAAAAAAAAAGGCCUGGACUGAUCUGAAAUGACCCUAUUAAUAACAAUUAUGUCCAGGUCUGUAUUGCAUACUUGUCAUUCAUUACAGGAUCUUGAGACACAAUGCAAAGGAUCACAUCGCAGCUCUGUAACUUGUUAACUAUAAGAUUUUGAGUAACAUAACACCUUACUCCUUAAAAUUGCUUAAAAAAAAUCUGAACAUCAGGAAUAUUCUACUUCACAGGGUCGUUGUGAUAAUUAAAUGUAGUAAUCAAUGACAAUAGUGCCAGAUACAGUAGAUAGCCUACACUUUGCAGCUACUAUUUCUAUCUAUCAUCCAUCUAUUAAUAUAUAUCAUCUAUCUUUAACUUAUCAUCUAUCUUGUUCCAGUUUUUUAAAAUGAACAUGUAUUAACUUUGUAAAAAAUUAAGGCUAUAAGAUGUGCUGAGCUUUUGGAAUAGAUUUUCCUGUAC
rnacentral:lncRNA from 1 species